GAAGAAGGCUUUCGGGUUGUAAACCAUUUUGCCCGGGACGAAAGGGGGGACCUGAAUAAGGUUGCCCGAUGACGGUACCGGGAGAAUAAGCCACGGCUAACUCUGUGCCAGCAGCCGCGGUAAGACAGAGGUGGCAAGCGUUGUUCGGAGUUACUGGGCGUAAAGAGUCUGUAGGUGGUCUGUCAAGUCUUUGGUGAAAGGCCGUGGCUUAACCAUGGGAAUGCCAAAGAGACUGGCAGACUGGAGGCUGGGAGAGGGAAGCGGAAUUUCUGGUGUAGCGGUGAAAUGCGUAGAUAUCAGAAGGAAGGCCGGUGGCAAAGGCGGCUUCCUGGAACAGACCUGACACUGAGAGACAAAAGCGUGGGGAGCAAACAGGAUUAGAUACCCUGGUAGUCCACGCCCUAAACGAUGGGUACUAAGUGUGGGAGGGUUAAACCUCCCGUGCCGCAGCCAACGCAAUAAGUACCCCGCCGGGGAGUACGGCCGCAGGUUGAAACUCAAAGGAAUUGACGGGGGCCCGCACAACCGGUGUGCAUGUGGUUUAAUUCGACCCAACGCGAAAAACCUUACCUGGGCUUGACAUGCCCCAAUAAGAAACCAAAAGGGGACCGACGGUUCAGUCCGGAAGCGAACAGGUGCUGCAUGGCUGUCCCACCUCCUGCCGGAGGUGUUGGGUUCAUCCGCAACAAGGCACCCUCGC
rnacentral:rRNA from 1 species